rnacentral:rRNA from 1 species
GGGUUGUGAGGUUAAGCGACUAAGCGUACACGGUGGAUGCCCUGGCAGUCAGAGGCGAUGAAGGGCGUGCUAAUCUGCGAUAAGCGCCGGUAAGGUGAUAUGAACCGUUAUAACCGGCGAUACCCGAAUGGGGAAACCCAGUGUGAUUCGUCACACUAUCAUUAACUGAAUCCAUAGGUUAAUGAGGCGAACCGGGGGAACUGAAACAUCUAAGUACCCCGAGGAAAAGAAAUCAACCGAGAUUCCCCCAGUAGCGGCGAGCGAACGGGGAGGAGCCCAGAGCCUGAAUCAGCAUGUGUGUUAGUGGAAGCGUCUGGAAAGGUGCGCGAUACAGGGUGACAGCCCCGUACACAAAAGCGCAUGUGCUGUGAGCUCGAUGAGUAGGGCGGGACACGUGGUAUCCUGUCUGAAUAUGGGGGGACCAUCCUCCAAGGCUAAAUACUCCUGACUGACCGAUAGUGAACCAGUACCGUGAGGGAAAGGCGAAAAGAACCCCGGCGAGGGGAGUGAAAAAGAACCUGAAACCGUGUACGUACAAGCAGUGGGAGCACAGCUUUACCGGUGUGACUGCGUACCUUUUGUAUAAUGGGUCAGCGACUUAUAUUCUGUAGCAAGGUUAACCGUAUAGGGGAGCCGGAGGGAAACCGAGUCUUAAUCGGGCGUUAAGUUGCAGGGUA